rnacentral:lncRNA from 1 species
CAAACACAAGAUAGCAAAGACACUGUUUGCCUAGAGAGCCCAGUUUUAACCCCAUGCUAGCUAUGGCAAGGCCCAGCUGGGGGAUUUCUCUCCUUCCCUGCUUCAGGCGGGGAAGGUCCACUGAGCAGAGAGCUUGCCGGAUGAGCCUGCCAGUAUCUUCUAGCCCAGGCCUGGUGACUGGCUUCUACAGAGAAUGUUAGAGCUGAAAGGACCCUAAAGAGCCACCCCUCUGCAUUUUACACAUGAAGAAACCAUGACCCAGAGAGACUGUGACAGAUCCAGGGCUACCAUUUGGUAAUGGCAGAGACAGACUGGUUUCCAGGAAUUCCGGAAACGUUUGCUCCACCAACCUGCACACAGAAAGUCAAAUUAAGGAGCCUACUUCUUCCAGAAAGAGUCCCUUUCUCCAAGAGUAAUGUGGUCUGUAACACGAAGAUGCACACAGGAGAAACACAUCCAGCAUGAGGACAGGCUCCUCAGAGCCAGGGAAGCACAGGUGCGACCACGACAAGCACAGAAAAGAGGGGGUCGUGCUGGGUAGCACCUCA